rnacentral:misc_RNA from 1 species
CUUUGCUACUUCCACCGUCUCCCUUGUUUCCCCAAGAGCUUCCUGGUGCCUUACCCCCUGAGUCACUGGGUUCCCCACCUGCAUUAGUGUCCUUGCCCCAACCACCAGCUUGAUUACCAUUUCCCUCAUCAGCACCUCUUUGGCUCCAACUGCCUCCACUAGUUUUCCAUCCUAAAUCAUUACCAUCUCCCUUGUUUCCCCAGGAGCUUGCUGACGAUUUACCCCAUGAAUCAUUGGAUUCCCCACCUGCAUUAGUACCCUUGCCCCAACCACCAGCUUGAUUGCUGCUUUCAUCAUUCUUGGAAUCCAAUCGCCGCGGUUGACUAUUAUCAGCACCUCCUUGGUUCCAACUGCCUCCACUAGUUUUCCAUCCCUUGCCAUCAUUGUUUGUCCCAUUCUUCCAGUCAAAGGCCUUGUCAGCACCUCUUUGGUUCCAGCUGUCUCCACUAGUUUUCCAUCCUCCAUCAUUACCAUCUCCAUCUCCCUUGUUUCCCCAAGAGCUUGCUGAUGAUUUACCCCGUGAAUCAUUAGAUUCCCCAACUGCACUAGUGCCCUUGCCCCAACCACCACUUUGAUUGCUACUUCCAUCAUUUUGGGAAUUCCAACUCUGCAAUUGGCUCUUAUCAGCACCUCCUUGGUUCC